GGCAAGAUAACCCAAAAAACUCCCAUCAAAGUGCAGUUUGAUCAUACUUCCCAAAUCAUAUUGGCAAGAUGACCCAAAAAACUCCCGUCAAAGUGUAGUCUGAUCAUAUUUGAAGGUAGUGAACUGCGUGCCAUCAUUGUACAAGGUUUAGCAGAUGCCAUUCUAACCACCUCAUGAGUAUUUGCCAUGAUAUCGAGAUGUUAUAUCCCAACACUCCUUUAUUACCAUACCCAGCUGGUCAUUGUCUCUGUAGUCCUUUUCUUAAUCUCUCUUCAUCCAAUACACUUCUUUAAAAACCC
rnacentral:lncRNA from 1 species